rnacentral:lncRNA from 1 species
GCAAAAUGGCAGAGGCUGGUUUUCCUAGUAAGCCAAGGAUGGGAAAAGUAUGCACCGGUGUUGUAGGUGAUACUUUCAAUUCUGAUAAGGACUUGGUAAGACAGCUCACUGGCCGAGGAGACUGUACUGAAGUGUCACUAGAGGAGAGUGAUGUCAUCAUAAUGGUCUGUCCUAUAUUCAGUGACUUUGGAACUCUGGACCUUGAUAUACAACUGGAGGUGGUCUCAAAACACCUAGCUGGUAAACCUGUUGUUCUGGUGGUGCUGCAUCAUGACACUUUCGACCCAGACUCCACUAUACCUGACAGCAGCAGACUAGUGACCAGGGGUGAGGUAAUACUCACAGUGGACUGUCUAUUUAAUCACAGAGGACUGCUGGACUGUCCUCGCAAUAAAGAAGCAGUCGAUAUGAUUCUGAAGAGGCUAAACGUACAACCAAAGGUAUAG